UGCCUUUUAUCUUCCAAAUCUGAUUUGUUACCAACUAGCAAAAAAGGAACAUUCUCAUCUUCUUUUACUCUUAAGAUCUGCUCCCUGGAGAGGAAAAAAAAGGAAAAAAAUAAAGAGAGGAAAAGAAAAUUAAGCUUUGCACAGAGUACUAUUCUUAGAACACAAAAAGAAGAACUCAGACUAAAUACUCUUCCAUCUUCCCAUGAAAAGCCACUUAUUCAUUUUAUGACGCUUAUGUAACAGUAAAAUCUUCAACCUCAUUACGACAUGAUACAGAAUGAAGACAAAGGCAGCCAACUAGUCAUCCAGGAAGGAAGGAGAUGACAACAGACACUCUCAGAAGCAGAGGAACCGAAGUACCAGUAUACCAAGAUAUGCCCUACACCAGCCCUACUGAGCAACAAACCAGACUAUUCUUCUAUAAGCCCUUCAAUGCUGGAACAAGUCCAAACGAAUUCAGCAGGACCUCUGACAGGGGACCUGCUGUCUCUAAUCCCCAGUGGAUUCAAACCCAACACUGAGGUCCAUCCAGCAGAGGAGCGAGCUGGAGAGUGUUCCUCUAACAGGACUAGGACAAGGGAAGCAUCGUGUUAACUUCUGCCUAAAGUCUUGGAGCACAGAGUGGUUAUUCAGAUCCACAAGAGUAGGCAGACUGCAUCAAUACACCAGCCAAAUGGAACCUAAUAAAAUAGGAGCACGUUGGAUUUUGCAGUUCAAAAAAUUCCUUUUAUUCCUCUAAGGAAUCAUCCAGCUGUAGCAAAUAAAUUUCAUUAGUGAAAUCUGACUUGGCAAAGUAAGUUACUUCAUUCAUUUUAUGAUUCUGCCAUCUGUUUUACCACCCAAUUACAAAUGUGUAAGUACUCUUUUGUAGUAUUAUUGUAAGAGUGUUACUUCUG